UACUACACACCUUACAUGUGUGCAAGCGCAUUGGGGCUCAGUACUUUGCAUUUCUGCCUGCCAUUUGUUGCCAUAACAACGGCAUCUUGAGUCCGGCAGCAAUCAUACAUUUUUAAUUUUUUAUCAAGAAAGCCCACCAAGACAUAAAGAUGGGACAAACACCAAGUUUGACCAUUUCAGACGAAAAGAAAGAACAGGUCAUCAGAUACAUGGGAGCCUACCAGAUGGCAGAAGGCCGGGUUCUGCUAAGAUACUACACACCUUAUAUGUGUGCAAGCGCAUUGGGGCUCAGUACUUUAAGUAAAGAUGGGACAAACAAUUUCAGGAUGGAUUUGGCCAGAAGAAAAAAAAGGUGAGCGACCUCUGCUAUCAAAUUUAAAGUCAGC